CCCAGAUCUCGGAAUCUUCGCGGACGCAUUAUCAUGUCUGGAGAGGAACAGCCCCAGCCGUUUGCCAGCGACGAGGAGAUGAACUCGGAGUCUUCGCGGGCACCAGACGGAGCCAGGCAUAUCUUGCCCAUAAUCAUAGAGGAGCCAGAGCCUAUUUCUAGUGACGAGGAGAUGAGUUUCCUCGACGUGACCCUGAGCCUGGCUUCUAAGGGAACGACAAAGUAUUCCAAUAUGGGAAAUGAGACUAGUUGAUGCAUGUGUGUGUAGUUUGUGUCUUUGUUCUUAUUUAGCUUGAUAAGACGCCUCAGUUGAUGCUUUUGACGUUAAAGAGCGGGCCAGUCUCCGUAGGAUUUAAUAGUCCCUUCAGCUUCCUGCUUCCGUAUCUGUGGCCAGUCCAGUUUGUCCGUGUGUCUCAUGCGUGGUCUGUUCCUAGCUUGAGACUGAGGCAGCAGUACCUUUGUGAGUGUGAGGGGGUUGGGGGUAAGGUGUGAAGUAAAAAAGUUGAUGAAGUUUGAAGAGAAGCGAGGGGGAGGGGGGGUGUAGAUCAUUUUUUCGCUAAGCUGCACUUUUGAGUAAUCACUGUAUUUUAAAGAAUCCGUUUUGAUGCAAGUGUAAUAGGUAACAGCUUUUUGGGGGCAUGAGCUGUUUCCAUCUUUCAACCAGUUUGGGGAACUCUUUCUGAGGGGUUAGGGGUUAGUGGGGAACUGACCCCUGACCCCUCAUUACGUAAGAUGUCAGUUUCGGCUGUUGGGGGGGGGGGGGGUUGGGGGAAGUGCAGGGGGUGAUAAAAUUAUGUGGGGUGACAGGUGUCCGCGGGGAACUGGAACUGGCCCACGUCACCGGUUAUGGGAAAAUAGCAAGUUCUUUAACGGCGUCAGCAGGUAUCGGGUACGGGACCAAAUUGUAGGGAACGUUUUUGUUAUCGCUUAUUUGUUUUGUCUUCCACAGCUCACAGACUUCCCCUCCCCACUCCCCCCCCUUGCGGAAGUCGGAAGUACCGGGCCUCACCGUGGCGCAAGGGUGUAACGCUCUGUUCAAACCAGAAGGGUGGCCGGGAAAACGAUGGUUCGGGCAACGGCCCACUUUCUGGUUGGAACCGAGCGGCCAACACGGUACUACGCAGAGCAUAGAAAAUGUGAAAUGUACAUCCCGGCGGCCGCCGCACUGCUUUGGCAAUGUGUUGUAAACUAUGAGAAACCGGCAGUAUGGAAAUAAAAGUUCAAAUCGGUA
rnacentral:misc_RNA from 1 species